CACGUAGGGUCCGAGCGUUGUCCGGAAUUACUGGGCGUAAAGCGUGCGCAGGCGGUUGGGUCAGUCGCUGGUGGAAAGCCCCACGCUCAACGUGGGAAUGGCCAACGAGACGGCCCGACUGGAGGCAGGGAGAGGCCGGUGGAAUUCCGGGUGUAGUGGUGAAAUGCGUAGAGAUCCGGAGGAACACCAGAGGCGAAGGCGGCCGGCUGGACCUGACCUGACGCUGAGGCACGAAGGCGUGGGGAGCGAACGGGG
rnacentral:rRNA from 1 species